rnacentral:rRNA from 1 species
GACGAACGCUGGCGGCGUGCCUAAUACAUGCAAGUCGAGCGGACUAAAGGGAGCUUGCUCCCUGAAGUCAGCGGCGGACGGGUGAGUAACACGUGGGCAACCUGCCUGUAAGACUGGGAUAACUUCGGGAAACCGGAGCUAAUACCGGAUAGGUUCUUCCUUCACAUGAAGGGAGAUGGAAAGACGGUUUCGGCUGUCACUUACAGAUGGGCCCGCGGCGCAUUAGCUAGUUGGUGGGGUAAAGGCCCACCAAGGCGACGAUCGGUAGCUGGUCUGAGAGGAUGAGCAGCCACACUGGGACUGAGACACGGCCCAGACUCCUACGGGAGGCAGCAGUGGGGAAUUUUGGACAAUGGGGGCAACCCUGAUCCAGCCAUGCCGCGUGCGGGAAGAAGGCCUUCGGGUUGUAAACCGCUUUUGUCUGGGAAGAAAAGGCGUCUCCUAAUAGGGGGCGUUCUUGACGGUACUGGAAGAAUAAGCACCGGCUAACUACGUGCCAGCCGCCGCCGUAAUAC